AUUUAUAUAGUUUAGAAUAAAACAUUACAUUUUCACUGUAAAGAUAAAGAAAACUUUUAUAAAUA
rnacentral:tRNA from 3 species